rnacentral:lncRNA from 1 species
CCCGAGCUAGCCAGUAGCAACUCUCUCUGGUCCCUUUCCACACUGUGGAAGCUUUGUUCUUUUGCUCUUUACACUAAAUCUUGUUGCUGCUCAGUGUUUGGGUCCGCACGGCGUUUGUGAGCUGUAACACUCACCACGAAGGUCUGCAUCUUUGCUCCUGAAGCCAGCGCGAAGGUGUGCAGCUUCAGUCCUGAAGCCAGCGAGAUCGCGAACCCGCCAGGAGGGACGAACAACUCCCGCCAGGAGGAACAAACUUCUCCAGACGUGGCGCCGCCUUUAAGAACUGUAACACUCACCGCGAAAGUCUGUAGCUUCGCUCCUGAAGCCAGCGAGACCGCGAACCCACCAGAACAAAGAAACUCCGGACACAUCAUCUUUAAGAACUCACUGGGAGAGUCUGCGGCUUCAUUCCUGAAGUCAGCGAGACCAAGAACCCACCAAUUCUGGACACAAUUGGAUACUAUAAUCGAUAAAGCUUGGCCUUCAGAAAUUCCCAGUCUUGCAAAGGCAAGAGGGAAACACAGCAAGGAGCAAGGUUGUCUGCUGAAUAUUUGCCAAGAGGAAGUUUGGGGAAAUGCCACAUGCAUAGUAAUUCCAAGUAGUAUGAUGUCUCUUCCUGUAACUCUUCAGAUUCUCAAUCCGGUCUCCUGAGAAAGACAGUGUAUGCACACAUAAGCAGGAUCUCUUGCCCUUUCACCUUUCAUGAUGGGAUGAUGCAGCAAGAAGGUCCUCACCAGAUGAGAGCCCCUGACCAUGAAUUUUCC